UUGAUGAGGAAAAAAAGAAAACUUCCGAGAGGUUUCUUCUUUUCCUGUACAGAUUUAGGUUUAUGGAUGAUUCGGGAAACCCUAAAACGAAUAAAACCUAAAACCAAACCUACAACCAACGCAACCAGCGGAAGAUUCAGCAAACCCUAACAAGAUAAGAGGCCUAUUUUCUUUCACCGAUCAAGCUUUGGUUUAUAUGACAGCUAAACAUCUGAUUACAUAGCGCGUAAAUAGUUACCAUAUAACAGACUACAGCGAAGUAUUCUUAAACCUGUGCCAGAACAAAGGAUAGGCCAUGUGGAAAGAAGCCAAGCGGAAAUUGAUGCUGCUAUCGAUAUAGCAAAUGCUACUGAGCAUGAUACUAGCAUUAUGAAGCAGAUUAUGCAGAGUUGCCAGUGGAGGGGCUUUGCUUAGUCAAUAAAUAUAUACGAACAGUUUGCUUCCUCACUCUGGAAACAAAUUACGGACUCGCCGUAAUUACAGUUUGAGCCUGGAAAAGAAGAAGGCUGGUGGUGUUGGUGGUCUUAAGUGGCAGUUGAACCGUAGCUGACCAGCUAUACUCAACAUUGAUUUACCAUCAAUGUUGGACAUACUAAAGUUUUUUGAUUUUGGUCUACUUCACUUGGGCAUGCAGAGAUCUAUAUUCUGAAGCAUACAUCCUCAUUAUUAGCUGGCAUUUGGGUGACGCGUAAAGAGAAGUUUGCAACAUGGAGUUGAAAGCAUAAAGAAUAUUUAGCAAAGAAAGAGAAGGAAGUCGGUAAGAAGGUAAGAACUUUGCAUCAUAAAUCUUGGCUUAAACAUUUCUUAACGAUUCACUUGCGCAGUACUCAUAUAGUUGUUGAGCUGUUGGUUAUUAUUUGAUAGUUCACACCCUUGAAUAUUGGUCAAUGAUUUUUCCUUCUCAUCAGAGUUAGCCCUUUGAAGUUGUUUGGUUUGCCACCAGAAUAAUUUCUUAUCACUGACUUUGCUUGCUCCCUGAAGAGAAAGAUGCCUUUGUAGGUGCAAAUCAUACCUCUGUCGAAACAUCCCUUCGUAAACAUUUUUUCUAGGCCAAUUAAAUGUCGUUAGGAUGACUGAUCCUCAUAUUACAUUCUAAGAUAGGCUGACUUGCAUCACUGAGAAAAUUGAUUAACGAGUAUUGGUAGUUUACUUUAGUAGCAUCACUGAGAGAUCUAUCAGUUUUUGUUUGACUUGCAUGGUUUAUAAUAUGAAGAUAGGCUGCGUAGAUUUUAAUCUGAUAUUUCUCUUCUACUUUUUAGAUGACUAACUAUAUAUUAGACCACCUUACAUUUGAGUACAAAGUAUUGAUAUCAAACCACUGCCAGGGUAAUGGCAUGGAUGACAUGGCUUACCCGCUUCUAUGAAGUGUCUCCUGAAAAUAUAAUCCAAUAAAAAAUUGGUUAUGAUUUGUGUUCACUUGGAAUUAUAACAGUUUACAUUUUUAUCUCCACCAUUCAUUUACCCCGCGAUUUUUACUUAUUUUGAUUCUAGAGGUCGAGAUUCUGUUUCAUCUCGAGCAUGUCCUCUCUGCAAAUUUGCAUACUUGGUGAUCACAAGACAUUCAACUCCAUCAUACAUGUUAUAUCUAAUCUUAUAGUUGUUCUAUUGAUUUUUUUGAUGUCGGGCCUUGCCUUAGUGGUGUUAGUUAAUUCACUCAUUCUAUGGGUAUCGGCAUGUAUAUCAUUUCACUGAUUCGACAAUUGGUUUGGUUUUGUGUUUUUUGAAUUCAUGUUCACCGUAAUAACCGCCUUAUUUAUGGAUGUUUUGUGACUCACAUUUUCAAGUUUAUGCUGGUGAGCCCAGGGUUGAAGAAUUGUAAGUAGCUCACAAAUUAUUAUGUAUCGGAUUAGCUAGGCUCUCAAAAAUGUAAGCAGCCUACACAAUGUCCUGUUUAUUUUGCUUCAGAAUUACUAUUCUGUACGGAUUAUUAAAUGUCAUUGUUUGCA